rnacentral:rRNA from 1 species
UACGUAGGGGGCAAGCGUUAUCCGGAUUUACUGGGUGUAAAGGGAGCGUAGACGGCCAGACAAGUCUGAAGUGAAAAUCCAGCGCUUAACGUUGGAAGUGCUUUGGAAACUGCCGGGCUGGGGUGCAGGAGGGGCAGGCGGAAUUCCUAGUGUAGCGGUGAAAUGCGUAGAUAUUAGGAGGAACACCAGUGGCGAAGGCGGCCUGCUGGACUGCAACUGACGUUGAGGCUCGAAGGCGUGGGGAGCAAACAGG